rnacentral:rRNA from 1 species
UACGUAGGGUGCGAGCGUUGUCCGGAAUUAUUGGGCGUAAAGAGCUCGUAGGCGUUCUGUCACGUCGGAUGUGAAAACUCGGGGCUCAACCCCGAGCCUGCAUUCGAUACGGGCAGACUAGAGUUCGGUAGGGGAGACUGGAAUUCCUGGUGUAGCGGUGAAAUGCGCAGAUAUCGUAAGGAAGACCAGUGGCGAAGGCGGGUCUCUGGACAGUUCCUGACGCUGAAGCACGAAGGCCAGGGGAGCAAACGGG